UACGUAGGGUGCAAGCGUUGUCCGGAAUUAUUGGGCGUAAAGAGCUCGUAGGCGGUCUGUCGCGUCGGCUGUGAAAACUCGGGGCUCAACCCCGAGCCUGCAGUCGAUACGGGCAGACUAGAGUGCUGUAGGGGAGACUGGAAUUCCUGGUGUAGCGGUGAAAUGCGCAGAUAUCAGGAGGAACACCGGUGGCGAAGGCGGGUCUCUGGGCAGUAACUGACGCUGAGGAGCGAAAGCGUGGGGAGCAAACAGU
rnacentral:rRNA from 1 species